UUAACGCAAAUUUGUAUGCAGUUCGAAAGUUUUCCUACGUUUGCCGCCAGGGGCGCUGUUCCAACUCCAUACAAACUUGAGUUA
rfam:Bombyx mori DNA, contig: Bm_scaf72_contig31234, strain: p50T/Dazao, build 2, whole genome shotgun sequence.